rnacentral:rRNA from 1 species
CCUACGGGUGGCAGCAGUGGGGAAUAUUGCACAAUGGGGGAAACCCUGAUGCAGCGACGCCGCGUGAGUGAAGAAGUAUUUCGGUACGUAAAGCUCUAUCAGCAGGGAAGAAAAUGACGGUACCUGACUAAGAAGCCCCGGCUAACUACGUGCCAGCAGCCGCGGUAAUACGUAGGGGGCAAGCGUUAUCCGGAUUUACUGGGUGUAAAGGGAGCGUAGACGGCAGCGCAAGUCUGGAGUGAAAUCCCAUGGCUUAACCAUGGAACUGCUUUGGAAACUGUGCAGCGAGAGUGCAGGAGAGGUAAGCGGAAUUCCUAGUGUAGCGGUGAAAUGCGUAGAUAUUAGGAGGAACACCAGUGGCGAAGGCGGCUUACUGGACUGUAACUGACGUUGAGGCUCGAAAGCGUGGGGAGCAAACAGGAUUAGAUACCCCAGUAGUC